GGGGAAAAGCUCAAAUUUUAAAUCUGCUAGGUUUUACUUAUCAGAAUUGUAAUUUGAAGAAGCGUUUUCCGCGUCUCGGUUGGCCCAAAUCCUUUGGGAUGAGGUAUCAUGGAGGGUGAGAAUCCCGUUCGGUUGACCUUAUGACAUUUUACGAUACGCUUUCUAA
rnacentral:rRNA from 1 species